rnacentral:lncRNA from 10 species
CCCGCUCGAGUGCUCGGCCCGUUCAGCCUAGUCCGGGUAGGUGAGGUGUGGCGGGGAGGGGUCGAGAGGCGCUGGGGCUCAGUCUCCUCUUCUGUUCAACAGGCUGGUGGUCCUGUCAGUCUCUGAGCACCUGUGGAACUUCUGCCCGGCCGUAAAGCUCCAACUCAAAGGGAAGCUCUCUUCUGGGAAGCUUUCCCUGAUCCUGUCUGUUUUUCUGUUGGUUAGAACAGUCCCUGUACUCAGCACACUGUCGUUUUGUUGUCUUCUGUCUCCUCCUUUAGCCUCCUACCUUGCAGGGUUUGGUCUUGUUCCCCUGUGUUCCUGGUGCUCAGCACAGGUCCUGGCACAUACUAGGUGUUCAACAAAUAUUUUCCACUGAAUGAGGCCCUGGGCCCCAAUUUCUCCCUUUGCCCUGAGGCAGAACUGGGAGCCUGGGCCGCUGAUCAGUUUACCUUUUCUUUUGUUCAGAGAAAUCUGCAGGUAAAGACAGGAACCUCAGCUCUGAGGCCCCGAGUAGGGUAGAGGAGGGGGACCGGAUAUGCAGCUCUGAAAGAUACAUCCAGGAUCAGAAGUGGUGGCCAAAAUGGGCCAUGGUCACUACAUCCAAAAAAGGUCUCUGCAAGAGGCAACACCAUUGAAUGUCAAUAAGGCAAGGCUCAGACUAUUCUGGGUUACUGUUCCCCUUAAUAUUAAUAACAACUCAAUAACUUAACAAUAGCAUUAAUAAACAAGUGACUUGGCCGGGCGCAGUGGCUCAUGCCUGUAAUCCCAGCACUUUGGGAGGCCGAGGCGGGAGGAUCGCGAGGUGGGAGUUUGAGACCAGCCUGGCCAACAUAGUGAAACCCAGUCUCUACUAAAAAUACAAAAAAUUAGCCUAGCAUGGUAGCAAGUGCCUGUAAUCCCAGCUACUCGGGAGGCUGAGGCAGGAGAAUGGCUUGAACCCAGCAGGCAGAGGUUGCAGUGAGCCGAGAUCGCGCCAUUGCACUCCAGCCUGGGCGACAGAGCGAGACUCUGUCUCAAAUAAACAAAACAAACAAACAAACAAGUGACUUUUAGGGAGCAUCUCCAGGAGCCAUGCAUGCCGAAGCCGUUAAUCUGUGAAGUGGGUCAGGUAUUAUCAUAUCCAUUUUACAGUAAGAGGAAACUGAAGCUUAGAGAGGGGACAUUGUUUGCUCAGGCAGUUGGCACAAACUGACUUUUGGCAAGGCACUUUCCUUCUCUAAACCUAAUCUCUGGAGAUAGUAGUACCUCUCUUUAACUGGGAGGAUUAAAAGAGAUCAUGGAUGCAACAGGAAGAUAUCACUGGGAUGCAUUAGGCAUAGGUGUUCAAUUUCCACCAGAGACCCUCCAUCCCAGCGCCUCCCACCACAUCUUGUCCACAUUCCCUCCUGAGGAAAGUGCACAUUGUAUUCUUAUUUGGAGCUCAGAGAAUGAGUCACAUCCUCACUUCACAGUCACAUCUUGUGCAGUUGAACAUCUGUGUACUCUAAAACCUAGCAAGUCCAUUCCUAUGGUACAGCCACAGUAAGCUCUUGUGCAAUGCACCAGGAGAGAAUGUAUACAAGAAUGUUACUAGAAACAUUGUUUGUGGUAGCCCCAAACCGAAAACACGGAAAUGCUACUGACAGGAGAUAGAGAAAUGUGGGAUAUUCAUGCAAAGGAAUUAAUUAUAGAGCAGUAGAAAAUGAAUGAAAAAUAGCAACAUGGUUGGAUCAUGGUAAUAUAAUAUUGGAUUGAAAAAAGGCAAAUCUCAGAAGACUACAUAUGGAAUGACAUCCUUUAUAUAUGAUUCAAAAAUAACUAGAACUACUGCAUCUAAGCAUAAUAUUUGGUUGAACCAUAUGAAUUUGCUGUUAUUUGACCUGUUUUGAUCUAAAAGUAAUGGCAGAUUCAUGUGCUUCAGCCUAAUUUUUACGUGAAAAAAAACUAAGAAAAGAGCAAGGCGUUGGGUGCAAUAGCCUGGGCCUGUAAUCCCAGCUACUUGGGAGGCUGAGGCAAGAGAAUCUCUUGAGCCAAGGAGUUCAAGACCAGCCUGGGCAACAUAGCAAGACCCUAUCUCAAAAAAGAAAAGAAAGAAAAGAGCAAGGGAAUGAGAAACACAAAGUUCAGAAUAAUGAAUACCUGGGGGGCUAGGCAUGGUGGCUCAUGCCUAUAAUCCCAGCACUUUGGGAAGCCAAGGAUUUGGGAGGUUUGGUUGAGCCCAGGACUUCAAGACCAGCCUGGGCAACAUAGAAGGACCUGUCUCUAUGGAAGGAAAAAAAAAAAAAAAAAAAGGCUGGUCAUGCAUCUGUGGUCCCAGCUACUUGGGAGGCUGUGGCAGGAGGAUUGCUUGAGCCCAGGAGGUCAAGGCUGCAGUGAACCAUAUUAACACCACUGCCCUGCCCUCCAGCCUGGAACACACCACACACACACACACACACACACACACACACACACACACACACACAAAAUUACCUGGGGGAGGAUGCAGGGAUCCUCCUAUUAAAUCUACCUGUGGGAGAGAAACCCAUAGGUAGAUUUAAUUUUUAGCAAUGUUCUGGUUUUUGUGAAUAGUGGAUUCAGGGGCUUUCAUUUUAUAAUGAAUGAAUGAAAAAAUAGAAGUUUAUGCUCUAAUGCUAAAUAAUUAGAGUUAGUGUCACUUGCAAAGUUCUCAAGAUACGCAAACACAUGAGAGCCUAGGGUCUUAUUUAUUUUAUUUUAUUUUAUUUUAUUUUAUUUUUUUGAGAUGGAGUCUCGCUUUGUCACCAGGCUGGAGUGCAGUGGCACGAUCUCGGCUCGCUGCAACCUC